rnacentral:rRNA from 1 species
GUGGGGAAUAUUGGACAAUGGGCGAAAGCCUGAUCCAGCCAUGCCGCGUGUGUGAAGAAGGUCUUCGGAUUGUAAAGCACUUUAAGUUGGGAGGAAGGGUAGUAACCUAAUACGUUGCUACUUUGACGUUACCGACAGAAUAAGCACCGGCUAACUUCGUGCCAGCAGCCGCGGUAAUACGAAGGGUGCAAGCGUUAAUCGGAAUUACUGGGCGUAAAGCGCGCGUAGGUGGUUCAGUAAGUUGGAAGUGAAAUCCCCGGGCUCAACCUGGGAACUGCCUCCAAAACUGCAUGACUAGAGUACGGUAGAGGGUAGUGGAAUUUCCUGUGUAGCGGUGAAAUGCGUAGAUAUAGGAAGGAACACCAGUGGCGAAGGCGACUACCUGGACUGAUACUGACACUGAGGUGCGAAAGCGUGGGGAGCAAACAGGAUUAGAUACCCCAGUAGUCC